AACGAACGCUGGCGGCAGGCCUAACACAUGCAAGUCGAGCGGACCCUUCGGGGUUAGCGGCGGACGGGUGAGUAACGCGUGGGAAUAUGCCCUUCUCUACGGAAUAGUCCUGGGAAACUGGGGGUAAUACCGUAUACGCCCUUUGGGGGAAAGAUUUAUCGGGGAAGGAUUAGCCCGCGUUGGAUUAGGUAGUUGGUGGGGUAAUGGCCUACCAAGCCGACGAUCCAUAGCUGGUUUGAGAGGAUGGUCAGCCACACUGGGACUGAGACACGGCCCAGACUCCUACGGGAGGCAGGAGUGGGGAAUCUUAGAAAAUGGGGGCAACCCUGAUCUAGCCAGGCCGGGUGAGUGAUGAAGGCCUUAGGGUUGUAAAGCUCUUUCAGCUGGGAAGAUAAUGACGGUACCAGCAGAAGAAGCCCCGGCUAACUCCGUG
rnacentral:rRNA from 1 species